GUUUCAGCCGCCGCGGUAAAACGUAGGAGCCAAGCGUUAUCCGAAUUCACUGGGCGUAAAGCGCGUGCAGGCGGCCUGAUAAGUUGGAUGUGAAAUCUCCUGGCUCAACUGGGAGAGGCCGUUCAAGACUGUCAGGCUGGAGGGCGACAGAGGGAGGUGGAAUUCCGGGUGUAGUGGUGAAAUGCGUAGAUAUCCGGAGGAACACCAGAGGCGAAGGCGACCUCCUGGGUCGUACCUGACGCUGAGAUGCGAAAGCUAGGGGAGCGAACGGGAUUAGAUACCCUUGUAGUCC
rnacentral:rRNA from 1 species